rnacentral:lncRNA from 10 species
ACAUUCAUGCAGGUCUAUUUCUGGGUUUUCUGUUCUUUCCCAUUGGUCAGAAUAAAUUACUAUAGCUAUACAGGAAACCUUAAUAUUGGUAGAAUAAUAAAAUGAAAUGAAACAAUUUAUUCUUCUUUGUUCAAGAUUGUUUUAGCUAUUAUAGGGCUUGUGCCUUUCCAUAUAAAUUUUAGGAUAAACUUGCCUUACUGUAUACACACACAUGCACCCCUUCUUGGUUAAGUUUUGGCAGUUGGAGAAAUUGGUCUGUUUCUUCUUGGUUGUUAAAGUUAUGAACAUAAAGUUGUUCUUAGUAUUCCCUUAUUAAGUUUGGGCAUGUUUCUGAAGAUAUUUGAUAGAGGGAAUGGAAGGUGGAUUUGAUCAAUCACUUGGGGCUUGGCAGAUCAUAUAUGUAUUUAUUUUAAAUAUACUGUACAUGAAGCUUCUCUGACCAGAAAGACAUAUGCCGUCAUUGAAGGUAUUAUGUGAGAACAUGAGCUCUUAAGUUGAAAUGGAAAAUACAACAUUUGAGCUUGCUUACUUUCAACAAUCGAGAAAAGAAUAGAGACUAAUAUUGAUAUUUCAAACGUUACGGAAGUGUGUGAAAUUAAAAAAAUAAACUUCUACUCACAGUUCCCAUGUUGCUAAUCUACUGUCAUAUAACCCUCUGUGGAUCUUUUUUCAGCCUAUUAAUUUUAUGUGAUCCCAGUAUGGAUUAGCAUUUCAGUUCAUGAUGGUUCAAGACUUAUCUGAUCUACAAUUCCCAAAGCUACCUUCACUACUUAUCCAGAUAGAAAGAAAUACAUUAUUAUGCUUUAUAGGUGUAUUAGUCUGUUCACAUGCUGCUGAUAAAUGCAUACCUGAGACUGGAUAUUUAUACAGAAAAAGAGGUUUAAUGGACUCACAGGUCCAUGUGGCUGGGGAGGGCUUGCAAUCAUGGCAGAACGCAAAAGUCACAUCUUACAUGACAGCAGGCAAGAGAGAAUGAGACAACCAAGCAAAGGGGGUUUCCCCUUAUAAAACCAUAUAAAACCAUCAGCUCUCCUGAGACUUAUUUACUACCUGGAGAACAGCAUGGGGGAAAUCACCCUGCCAUGAUUCAAUUAUCUUCCACUUGGUCCCUCCCACAACACGUGGGAAUUAUGGGAGCUAAAAUUCUAUAUAGCGGGGAAAAAACAGAACUCCUAUAGACAUAGACACAAAGAAAUGCAUAGCUCUGUGUCACAAACAAAUAAUACCUGAAAAUGGAAACAGAACACUCACAAAGAUAUUGUGAUAUCAGAUUAUUAUCUGAAUAUUCUAAUCUUUAGGUCAGAGCUCUUUAUCCCAGCAAUCCUAGUAUUGAGAAUUUAUCCUAAGAAAACAAUCUUUUUUUUUUUUUUUUUUUUUUUGAGAUGGAGUCUCGCUCUCUUUGUUGCUCAGGCUGGAGUGCAGUGGCUUGGUCUCGGCUCAUUGAAAGCUCCGCCUCCUGGGUUCACACCAUUCCCCUGCCUCAGCCUCCCGAGUAGCUGGGACUAUAGGCACCCGCCACCACGCCCAGCUAAUUUUUUUUUUUUUUUUGUAUUUUUUUAGUAGAGACGGGGUUUCACCGUGUUAUCCAGGAUGGUCUCCAUCUCCUGACCUUGUGAUCCACCUGCCUUGGCCUCCCAAAGUGCUGGCAUUACAGGUGUGAGCCACUGUGCCAGGCCAGAAAACAAUCUUAAAGUAGAAAACACAACUUCAUGCCUCAAGAAAUUUAUUGCAGAUUAUUAAUAACAGCAGAGGGUAAGCUGUAUCAUACAUGUACAGAAGUUGAAUGCUUAUGUCGAGUGCAUUGUAUUCAUUUAAUGAUGUACUAGCAAAUGAUCUUAAGAGCAUGCCUUACUCCAUUUAUGCUUCUAUAACAGAAUACUACAGACUGAGGAAUGUAUAAAGAACAGAAAUUUAUUUUACCACAGUUCUGGAGGCUGGGAAGUCCAUGAUCAAGGCACUAGCAGAUUUGGUUGUCUGGUGAGGGUUGCUCUCUGCUUCCAAGAUGGCACCUUAUUGCUGCAUCCUUCAGAGGGGAGAAACAUUGUGUCCUCACAUGGCAAAAUGCAGAAGGGCAAGCAGGAUAAAAUCCCUCAGUCGAGCCCUCUCAUGAGGGCAUCUAAUCCCAUUCACUAGGGAGGAGCCCUCAUGGCCAAUUACCUCUUACAGGUCCCACCUGUUAACAGAAGCACAUUAGGCACACCUGAGUUUUGGAAGAGACACAUUCAAACCACAGCAGAGCACAAAAUCAGAUAGACCUGGGCUCAAAUUCUGACUCCUGUACGUACCUGGGUAAGUUAUAAAUUUGUUAAGCAUAUUUCCUUUUGUAUUAUAUAAAAUAGAACUAAUUAUUCCUUCUUCACAAAGUUAUUGUAAAUAACUAAUGAAAUAUACAUAUAAAGCAGAUAGUACAAUGUCUGGAAGAGAGGACACAUUUGGAAUAGGUGUUUGAAAAAUACAGCUUUUGUCCUGCUGCUUCUUUUAUAAAUAAAGCUUUAUUGAAACACAACCGUACCCAUUUGAUACCAAUUGUCUAUGGUUGCUUUUAUGCUACAAUAACAGAGUUGGGUGUUUGUUACAGAGAGAGCAUGAUCUGCAAAGCCUAAAACAUCUAUCAAAUAGCUCCUUAAGAAAGUUUGCCAACUUCUGAUUUAGUUCAUAGUAAUGAUUUCACAACUAUAAAAGGUGUUUUGUAAACAAUAGCAAAAUAAAAAAUAAAAACUAGGUUAUAUGCUUAAUGGAAAAAAAUAACCUAAAUCUAUACUCAUAUUUGAUAGUUAAAACUAUGUUGACUUUAUAACUGCUUAUACAGCACUUAAAAGGAAGAGAAAUAAAACCGAUUCAUUAGAUUUAAGGAAUUUUAAGAGAUAUUCCUCUUACAAAUUUAUUGUUUUUAAAAAAGUAGAAGUGCAAUAACAAUUAUCAUUGAAAAAUCAUGUCACCUCUUAAAGAGUUCAGGAAUUCAAGUCCUCUCUGGGUGUGGUCAUGAGUGUCUCUAGGGAAAUAUAGGCAACUUCAAUUAGAAAUUCUCUGGCCUAUGUGGUUGUUCUCAAGGUUCAGGUGUCUACUGAUCAGAGGGUAAAAUGAAGUUCCUUCUUUACUCCCUUUCCAGCUCCUUCAGCCAGAGCCAAAGUAUUUCUGGCUAUAGGGCUUAGGCUUAUUAGAAAUGCAAAAUAAGUAUCUAAUAGUAGGCUUUUUAAUAGAACUGUUCUUAGCUGUCAAAAGCAAAUUUAUAUUACCACAUUGAUUAGUUGCUGAAGACUUGCAAAGCUUCUAUUUCUGAUGGGAUUGGGACUGACUAUAGUUAAUGUUUUUUUUUUCCUGUUGUGUUGCAUAUUCCUUGUUUCCUGCUCUGUGUGUAUGUGUGUGUGUGCAUAUACAUGUAUAUGUAUAUAUGUAAUAGUUCACACAUAUAUAAUACACAUUGUAUAUAUGGUAUAUAUACACUUUUAAAGGGAUUUUAAAGGCAUUUUUAUGGUUAGGCUAAUUCUCUUUCCUCUUGAAUUUUUUUCAUAGCAUGUUUUAUAUAAAGGUAAAACAUCUAAUUGACUUAAUAGCAAGUUUAUCUUUUUUUUUUUUUUUUUUUUUUUUUUGAGACAGAGUCUCACUCUCUGUCCCAGGCUGGAGUGCAGUGGUGCGAUCUUGGAUCUUCACUCACUGCAACCUCCAUCUCCUGGGUUCAAGUGAUUCUCCCACCUCAGCCUCCCGAGUAGCUGGGACUACAGGUGCAGGCCACCAUGUCCAGCUAAUUUUUGAAUUUUUGUAUUUUUAGUAGAGACAGGGUUUCAUCAUGUUGGCCAGGCUGGUCUUGAGCUCCUGAUCUCAAGUGAUCCACCUGCCUCAGCCUCCCAAAGUGCUGGGAUUAUAGGCGUGAGCCACCGUGCCAAGUUUCUUUCUUAAACCCAUUUUCUUUUUGUUAUCAUUAUCAUGGCUCAGUUUUAGGUGUAACUUUUGAUCUUUUCUGCCUAGACUAUCCCUUUUACAUUUAUCAGAGUAUUCUUUAUUUAAAAAGUCCAUUAUUUCUUUAAAUAUAUUUUAUGCUUCUUUUUCUCUCUCCUGUCCCUCUUGAAAUCCGGUUACACAUGUGUUGGACAAUUUCAUAUUGUCCUGUAGGUCACUGAAACUCUGAUACAUUUUUUGUUUAAAAAAGUAAUUUCAACUUUCAUUUUAGAUCCAAGGGGUACAUGUGUAGGUUUGUUACAUGGGUAUAUUGCAUAAUGCUGAGGUUUGGGGUACAAAUGAUGUCAUCACUUAGGUACUGAGCAUACCCAGUAAUUUUUCAAGCCUCACCCCUCACUGUUCCCCACUCCUAUAGUCCCUAGUGUCUAUUGUUGCUACCUUGAUACAUUUUUCAAUCUUUUUUCUCCUCUUUAAAUUGGAUAAUUUCUAAGAAUUUGUCUUCAAGUUUACUGAGCCUUUUUUCUGUAAUCUCCAGUUUGCUGAUGAGCCCAUCAAGUUAUUUUUUUCAUUUCAGAUGAAUUUUCUGCUUUUGGAUCUCUAUUUCAUUCUGUUUCAUAGUUUUCAUUUUUCUUUCUCUGAUGUUCCCCAUUUGUUUCCUCGGUUUCCUUUAAAUUAUUGAAUAUAUUUAUGGAUCUUUUCCUGCUAAUGUUAGCAUCUUAAAUGAGGUCUUUUUGUAUUUAUUAUUGUCUAGUAUUGUCCAGCUUUCCUGCUUCUUCACAUGUCUGGUAAUUUUUUAUUAUAUGCUGAAUAUUGUGGAUUACUCAAUAGAAGUUGGAUCGUGUUGUCUUCCUUUAAAGAGGGUUGACUUUUGUUCUGGCAGGAAGUUAAUGGACUGGUGGUUCUCCUUGAUCUUACUGAGUCUUGGUUUUCAGCUUUAUUAAGUGGGUCCAGAAUAGCCCUUACUCUAGGGUAAGAGUUGGCAAGCUUCGGUAAAGGACCAGAUAGUAAAUAUUUUAGGCUCUGUGGGCUACAUAUGGUAUCUGCCACAUAUUCUUACUCAUUUUAUUUUAUGAUCCUUUAAAAAUGUAAACUCCAUUCUUAGCUUGUGGGCCAUGCAAAAGGAGGCCAUGGGCUUGUAGUCUUUCUGGUGUGUCAGUUAAAUAUCUAGGGUAUUAAUGAGGGCUCUGUACUCUGGCUGGACUGAAAUACCAUCUGUAAGCACUGGGUGAACUCUAGUAUUUCUGUUCCACUCUCAACCCAUUGGCAGCUACUUUCUGCUAGGUCCCAUGGAGCCUUGCUCUGUACUUUUUCACCUGAACUCCUAGCCAAGGACCUGCAGGACACUCCCACUCAGACUUCUGGAGUUCCUUCACUCUAUUACCAUGCUGCACACAGUCUAACUGGUUCAGUUAAUUUCAGUAGCUGCCUCUUUCUGAAUUUCGGUGGCUGCCUCUCCCAUUCAGUAGGACCAUCCUGCUCUGCUAAAGCUUGCUACCUAUGUGUGCCAUGGUUAGGAAAUUUUUCAAAGACAAGGAUCAGAGAUGGAUUUAGACUUCUCUUCCUAUGUUUCCCCUGCCUAUAGGCCAAUGUCUGGAAACAACUGCCUCAGCUAUGCCUCCGUUUCAUGCUUACUUAUCACAAGAGGUCAAGUCUGGUACUGAUUACUGUGUUAGGGCUGGAGAGGGAAAUCCCACGGUGGUAUUUUAGAAAACCAUUUGACAAUAUCAUUCUCAUGCUUCAAGUCCUUGAAUGACUCCUUUUCACACCAAGGAUAAAAAUACAAACUCCUAAACUUUGUGCCCAAGAUUCUUCACAAUCUUUUGCCUAUUUACUUCCUUUGCCCCAUCUUCUGCCAUGAACCCUGUGCUUCAGGCAUACUGAGCUUUGAACCAAUGCCCCAACAUAUCUUUUAUGCUUCUGUGCAUGUUGAUGUGAUGAGAAUAUCAGUGAGUGCCUGCAUAUCAGGAGGGAGGGAGAGAGAAAGAGAGAGAGAGAAAGAGAAAGAGAGAAUAGAUAUACCAGGGAGACUGGGAGGGAACUUAAUGGCAUGAUCAGAAGAGGCUCUCUGAGUAGGUAAUAUUUGAUUUAAGCUAUAUGAUAUACAUAUGUAUUUAUGUAUACACCCAUGUGACUACCACUCU